GAGAGAUUUGAUAUCGUUGCUAGAUGUCAGGGUGGAGCAAAUGCUGGUCACACCAUAUAUAACGCUGAGGGUAAAAAGUUUGCCCUCCAUCUCGUUCCAUCCGGAAUCCUCAAUGAAGAAACCAUGUGUGUAAUCGGUAACGGAGUGGUAGUACAUCUACCUGGAUUAUUUGAAGAAAUUGACGGUCUAGAGUCCAACGGUGUCUCUUGCAAGGGAAGAAUACUGAUAUCUGACCGCGCACAUCUGCUAUUCGAUUUUCAUCAAACCGUGGACGGACUCAGAGAAGCAGAGCUCGCUAGUUCCUUCAUCGGGACAACGAAGAGAGGUAUUGGGCCGUGUUAUUCAAGCAAAGUUAUCCGAAACGGGAUCAGGGUUGGCGAUCUCAGGCAUAUGGAUACCUUUCGCCAAAAGCUUGAUAUUUUAUUGAAGGAUGCAGCCUUACGUUUUCACGGUUUCAAGUAUAGCGCCGAUAUGCUCACCGAUGAGGUCGAGAGGUACAAGAGGUUUGCAGAAAGGUUAGAGCCGUACAUCAUCGAUACUGUCCACUUCAUGAACGAGUCCAUUUUACAGAAGAAAAAGAUAUUAGUCGAAGGUGGUCAGGCGACCAUGUUGGAUAUUGAUUUUGGUACUUAUCCGUUUGUGACAUCGUCUAGUCCUUCGGCCGGUGGGAUUUGUACUGGGCUUGGUAUCGCCCCGAGAUCUCUGGGUGAUCUUAUUGGUGUGGUGAAGGCU
rnacentral:misc_RNA from 1 species